rnacentral:rRNA from 1 species
UUCGCCCAUUAAAGCGGUACGCGAGCUGGGUUCAGAACGUCGUGAGACAGUUCGGUCCCUAUCCGUCGUGGGCGUAGGAAAUUUGAGAGGAGCUGUCCUUAGUACGAGAGGACCGGGAUGGACAUACCUCUGGUGUACCAGUUGUCGUGCCAACGGCAUAGCUGGGUAGCUAUGUGUGGACGGGAUAAGUGCUGAAAGCAUCUAAGCAUGAAGCCCCCCUCAAGAUGAGAUUUCCCAACUUCGGUUAUAAGAUCCCUCAAAGAUGAUGAGGUUAAUAGGUUCGAGGUGGAAGCAUGGUGACAUGUGGAGCUGACGAAUACUAA